rnacentral:lncRNA from 1 species
CUCCGCUCCUCGCGUCGCGGCCCCGCCCCCGCGGCCGCUGCGCGCCGGACGGGGCCCAAGCGGGGGUCGGAGCCUCAAGGCUGCGGCGGCGACGAGCUCCGAGCGGGACACUGAACGGCCCGUAUGCGCAAGAUAAGCACGGACUGAAUCAGGUACACGCACCUGCCGGGGACGCACUGACCGAGGUGCGGACGGCGGUACCAGGACAGGUAAAGCCGCGAACACUCGGACCUAAGAACUUGACAGGUACACCCUGCCUGAUGAAGCUACGUACGGCCAGGUGCGCAUCGAGUGAAUCAGAGACGAAGUUUCGCCAUGUUGCCCAGGCUGAUCUCAAGCUCUUGGGCUCAAGCAAUCCACCUGCCUUGGCCUCCCGAAGUGCUGGGAUUACAGGGUGAGAACCUACUUCUUCAUAAAGAGAAUUUGGAGGGAGCUUUUUGUUCUGCGGGGACAACAUCUGGAUUUGAAUACAUCCAUGCUCAAAAGGAGAUUUCUCAUAAUGGACCCAACUGAAAGCACUCAGAGUACAAGGACCGGUGAGCUUUCAAAAGGAGACACUUCGGGAGACUCGCCAGGGGCCCUCGUAUCCCCGGCAGCGCGAGUUUUGGAGGUCAGUGGAGGGCUCUCGCAUCAUGCAUGUAACUUUCAUACUCAAAAACUUACCUUCAUCCUGCAUCCCUCACCCCCCUGCAGAAACUUGGGGCUUGAAUUCAUUUAAAAACAUUUGCGGUUUCAGAAGCCUUCUUUUUAUUAUGAAGCUGCCAAGGAGAUCUUAGAAUGAAAGGCAUUUUUAGAGAUGAGAAAGAAGGAAGCCAGGCCAAGGCUGGGCCGGCUCUCAGCCGUGGGUCUGUAAAGGUGACACGUGGGACAUGGCCACCUGCAGACCCUGCAGGCGGCUGGGCAGAGGCACCCACAGGGACCUGGGUUUGAAUCCCUGCUCUGCCAGUCAUUUCCACAGCGAUCUUGGGGGAAGUUGUGUAACCUCUGGGCCCUGCGACGCCCUUUCCUGGAGCCUGGAGCUGGAACGAAGCCCCUUGGAGCCCUGACAUCAGAGGUGACGUUAGUCUUCGCAGGCAAUGACUCGGCGGAAUGUGAUGCCACUCCCUAACCCGUGUCCGGACUGGCAGAGUGUGUGCCGCCUCCCACCAGGUGGUCUGGCUGCUUUGAUGGAUCUCCUAACUUCUCUGCACCCCAGAGCCCUCAGUGCUGGCCAGACCUUCACUCACUCCUGGGUGACAACCCCGUUCUCAGAUAGUGGGUCCCACAGGCUGGCCUGUGGCGCCCCCUGCUGGUGACUGCAGGGAGAAGGAUGCCCUAAGCCAAAGGAAGUCCUUCCUGGGGUCUAAUCUCUACCUUUUGCAUGAUGAGGCAGCUGAGGUGGCUCGCUUUCUCCUCCACCCCAGAAAAUAAAGUCAUAUGGAGUCCAA